GUUGUUGCAAGGUGGCUUCAAUCUAUAUCAGAUGCCAAUGACCUCACGAGGAUGGUGUAAUCGCUAGAGACAGCUGGGUAAACAGCUGCAAACAGCCACACAAGGCUUGUUUUAGGAGCUUCUCAUCACAUUAAGAUUUUGGGACUUAAAGCUUCCCUGCUUGGCUUUUAAAUAGCUUUAUGAUAAGAUCAUACAGAAUGUAUUUGCAGUUAUGGAGUUAAUGGGGCAUUUUAAAGUUAUUAUUAGGACUGAGUUACUUUGUACAACGCUAUGUGUUGUUUAGGAUGCUGUUAAGAUUUUUUCUCCUUUGUCUGUGAAUUCAGAUAUACCUGCAUCCUCACAGUAGGCUUUUCACUCUAACAAGAUGGUAUUCAUCCUGGUAGGCACUACAUAAAUCUGUUGUAUUUUAGCAGGGUCAGCUCACUACAUGCCAGUAGCACGCACUAUCAUGUGACUUUCCUCCCACCCAUUUAGCACUUUGUUUGCUUUAGGGCCAAUAACAGACUGAAUGCCUGUUUUUUGGUGAAACUACAGCAAAAGGCACAGUAACAUCAGCAUACCAGAAGCUAUCCUCUGAAAACAUUAUGGAGUCCCUGUCAUUAUUAUUUAUUUAUUUUGCAGAUCAGUUUAUGCAGAGAUAUUCAAGUGAUAUUGUAAAAUUCAGGAAGGAUUUUGCUUUAGAUGAUCUUGUUAGGUUUUCUCUCUCUUUAUGAGAUACACAACUUUUCUACAUUGUUAUCCAACAAUGCAAACCCUCAAAAAAAAAAAAAAAAAAAAAAAGCUGUUUUUUUCUGGGGUAAAGGUAAGUUGUUGAUGGAUUUGGGGUUGGGCAACUACAGAGAGUACUCCGACAGCUUCUAAAAAGCAAAAUUCCUCACAGGAUGAAAGAUAUGCAUAAGGGGCACGUAGCAAAUGACAUUUAAUUCUUGCAUUGGGAACAAAAUGGUGACAAAAUGAACAAAUCACAACUUAUUGAUAAUUUGGUUCUACUUAAAAUAUAAACCUUCAGCUUAAAAACAACGACAACAAAAUUGUGACAAAAUAAAACUUAUCUGUAGUGAAACUGUGGCUUACAUUUAUGUUACUAUUUCCAAAGCUUCAAGAUUUAUAACACCUCCUGCUGCUGAAGGCAGACUCUGCUCCUCUAAGCCAGGCAUCAGACAGUUCGCCCAACAGGAGAGCGUGUGAAGCGAGGACAGCAGGAUAUUAACCUUGUCAUCCAUGACAGAGUUGUUUGUAUCUCUCUUCUCUCCACAGAAAAUUCUGGUAUGCCUCCUCCUCGCCGGCCCCAAACUCAACCACUUCAGUGUGAUCUUUCUCUUUCCGGUUAGAAAUAUGAAGUUCAGCAUCUGGGCAAAGUAUCCAUCUCUCUGAUGGAAAUAUUUCAUAGCUAAAAGGCAUAGCAAAACUGUAAAAUGCAGGUAAGGCAUUGGUGAUGAGCACUGUGCAGCAGAAAAGAAAAAAGCAGUGUCGAAAAGCAUGAAAAUAAGACCCUUCCAAUCUCCAGCCAUGACUGAAUUUUAACAUGAGGUAAGACUGAGACUUCUUGUAUUUCAUUCUUUUCUCUUCACAUAUUUUUUUUACCCCAAAUUUACUUUUCUUGUAUUCCACCCUGAUCUAUAAAUGUUUGGUCCCAUUGAUAAGAAAGCAUUACUGAGCUGUGAAACUGCAGGCAGUGGAAACCAUGAACUAAAUAAACAGGGCAAAUAAAAAGCCUGUUGUAAUAACAUUCUGGGUGUUGAAGUGUCUUCAUGCUCAAGACAACCAAGGAAAAUAUAAAGCAAGGAAAUGAAAAGCAUCUCCUUUAAAGAACCUCAACUUUUCUGUGACUGCAGAUAUUAAAAAAAAAAAAAAAAAAAAUCACUACUAUAAAGACAAUUAUCUAGACGGAAAUAUUCUAAGGAAAUUUCUUUUUCUUAAUAUAAUUUUUUCUUUUUCUUGUCUUAUACACCAGGAGAACUAACCGGCAGAACACACUGCACUGUUCACCAUUGCAACCGCUGACUUGUUGGGAAGAACCAUCCCUUGAAAUAGAUGGUCAUGUUGCUUUGAUCCAGCAAGUCUUCGGGACACACCUACUCCUGUCUUCAGACACUUGAGUAAUCUCACUGAAUGCCAUCCAGCAAAGACCACUGAGCUACUAGUCAGGGAAGUAACAACUUUUGGCCAUCAGGUACUAGCUACUGCAGUUUCAAGUACUGGUAUCUUCACAGAGAGGCAUUUGUUUUUUUUCAGCGUCCUUGCUUUGAUCUUCAGUUACCAAGCAAUCUAAUAUUCAUUAGAUAGAAAAUGCUAUUUUCUGUUACUAUUGUACUUUCAGGUAUUGUACUCCAGGUGAAGGGAUGCCAUUUUGCUGUAAAACCCCUUGACUUUUAUCACUGCUUCAGGGAGCUUGAAAGCCAGAUUAAAAAAAAAAAAAAAAAAAAAAAAAAAA